rnacentral:rRNA from 1 species
UACGGAGGAUCCGAGCGUUAUCCGGAUUUAUUGGGUUUAAAGGGUGCGUAGGCGGCUUUUUAAGUCAGGGGUGAAAGACGGUAGCUUAACUAUCGCAGUGCCCUUGAUACUGAAGAGCUUGAAUGUACUAGAGGUAGGCGGAAUGUGACAAGUAGCGGUGAAAAUGCAUAGAUAUGUCACAGAACACCAAUUGCGAAGGCAGCUUACUAUGGUAUAUUGACGCUGAGGCACGAAAAGCGUGGGGGAUCAAAACAGG